UACGGGAGGCAGCAGUGGGGAAUUUUGGACAAUGGGCGAAAGCCUGAUCCAGCCAUGCCGCGUGCAGGAUGAAGGCCUUCGGGUUGUAAACUGCUUUUGUACGGAACGAAAAGCCUCUUUCUAAUAAAGAGGGGUCAUGACGGUACCGUAAGAAUAAGCACCGGCUAACUACGUGCCAGCAGCCGCGGUAAUACGUAGGGUGCAAGCGUUAAUCGGAAUUACUGGGCGUAAAGCGUGCGCAGGCGGUUUUUGUAAGACAGAGGUGAAAUCCCCGGGCUCAACCUGGGAACUGCCUUUUGUGACUGCAAGGCUGGAGUGCGGCAGAGGGGGAUGGAAUUCCGCGUGUAGCAGUGAAAUGCGUAGAUAUGCGGAGGAACACCGAUGGCGAAGGCAAUCCCCUGGGCCUGCACUGACGCUCAUGCACGAAAGCGUGGGGAGCAAACGAGGGAUUAGAUAACC
rnacentral:rRNA from 1 species